UCUUGCCUGGAGAUCCCCAUGGACAGAGGAGCCUGGUGGGCUAUAGUCCACAUGGUCCCAAAGAGUCAGACACAACUGAAGCAAUAUAGCAUAGCAUAACAUAUAUGAGUUUAUAGAGUUGAAGUUUAUGGUCUUUUACUUUUCUUUCCAUUUUGUUGUUGUUCUCCAUUGUUUUAUUCUCUUUUUCUCACCGCAUGCUGCCUAAGAGACACUAGACUAUUUCUUCUCCAAUAGAACAAAGAUUACUGGAACUCUGCACAAGUAUUUCAGAACAUAAUACAAUUGCUUCCCUGCCCCUAAAAACCUCAGNNNNNNNNNNNNNNNNNNNCAUUGAAUGGCUUACUUCAGUUUGCUCGUUUGACAGCAGUAUGAGGAUAGAAGAGGAAGCCAGAGGCACAGAAGGCAAAUGAUCACUUCCAGAUGGUGUCUAAAGGAUGCUCCUGAUAACUAUUCAGUAGAAAGGCCAUGGGGCUGUUUGGUGACUCCACAAGUGAGAUGUUGUGUUAAAUGCCUGUUACAGCUUCAGAUCUGUUUGACAAACGCUCUUUAAGGUAUGGGGUCUGUCCUGGGUCAACAAAGAUGAUUGACACAUGGCCUUUACCCUCCAGGCACUGGCAGGGAAGCCAGGUGGAGUCAAUGAACAGUCAAGAACCAGUCUAGAUGACCCUACUGAACACCUGGAUGUGUGUGUUUCAAAGCAACCGCAGUGGUACAAGUGGUUUGUGGCCAAAGAAAGUGGAGACGGCUUGAUUAUGUGCCAUCACCCAAAUUCACCAGCACUCUGAGAAGCAACAAGCUAUUCAGUGAUGAUGGUAAACACCACUCAUGAGGAAACCACUUCAAAAAACUAAGGGGUAUCCUCACAAGUCCUUGGAUUCAUUCUGUUACUACUUGAACAUACAUGGGUCAUAUAUCCAUCUCCGAAACAAUUAUUAUGGCCAAAGAGGAGCUAGCACAUUGAUUGUUCAAGUUUGUGUCACAUGUGCUAUUCCUGGAAUUAGACAUAGAACCUUGGCAAACAAAUGGAUCGAUAUUGAGGUCAAACUCAGGAUAAGCAUAAAUCAAACCGAGCCAUCACUCACCAGACUGAGACAAAACCUCAACGCCCUCUAGUGGAGAGACUGUUCCAUGCUCCAUUACGUGGGACCAACUUUUUGACUCCCAUGGGUAAGAGAAAUUUAUGAGAGUUCAUUUUUUAAAAAUAUUGAUCUAUGUUAAUUGAUUGGUGAUUGGUUUACAAUAUUGGUUUGAUUUCUGUCAUACAUCAACAUGAAUUNNNNNNNNNNNNNNNNNNNNNNNNNNNNNNNNNNNNNNNNNNNNNNNNNNNNNNNNNNNNNNNNNNNNNNNNNNNNNNNNAAAAUUUUCUGGUUAGAAUGAACCAUCACCAAGAACACAAGGGAAAAUAUGGGGGUGGGGUGCCUAUACACAAAAUAUCAAUAACUUUGUUACUGUAAUUAGUCUCUGAUCUUCCAAGUUACCUGCUUGUCUUGACUGCCUACUCUUGGCCAUAUCAUGACUCUCUACUACUGAAUCUACAAAGAAUUAAAUCUAUUCCUUUGUUUUUAAAAGUUACCUUUUUCUUUUGUUUUAUUUCUCCAGAUUUAUCACUUCUCUUAAGUAUCACUUCAUUAAUUUUUCCAAACAACAGCAAAAAUAACCACUGAAUUCAUUUUCUGUUUUUCUCCUAAGAACAUGGUUUAUCAGCCUUUCCCAUUUAUAACAUGAUGCUUGUUCCAAGAAAGGACGAGAGCAGCCGAGCACAGUGGUUAAGAAUAGAAGGGUGGAGCUAGAAGCACUGACUCCAAGUCCAAAGGAGCCAUUUACUAUCCAUAUGAUCUUGGACUAGUCACUUAGAUCCUCAUUUCUCAGUUCCCUCAUCUGUAAAAUCAAAACGACGGUGAUAGUACCCAGAAAGCCUAGAACUUAAGAAAAUCCACGUAAAGGAGCUAGAACAGUGCCUAACACGUAAUAAGCACUCAAUGGCUGUUACUUAAUAUUGCUAUUUCAUCAGUUUUAUGAGUAAAUAAUAACAUAGCAUGAAUAAAAGAUUUGAAUCCAACCUCUUUUUCCAAAUGCAGUUGUUCACUAGUCACCUUCUGUAUUUUACAUACCUACUAGAAGAAAACUAUCUUCUGUGGAGAAAUAUCACAGCAUUUAAUAUUACCUCUCCAAGUUUUUUAUCUACAAUAUCUGGCUAAAAAAACACCAAGUAACUAAAUGCCACAAUUAAAAAUAACAAUAAUAAAAAAAACCUGGGAUGAUGAAGAUAUUGAAGUAAUCAGACAGAGGAUUUAAAAUUAAAAUAAUAAAUGGGUUCAAUAAAACAGAGGAAAAUAUGAAGAAUUUUAACAGAAACCUGCAAUCUAUUAGAUAUGGCAGAACAGAGAACUUCUGGCAAACUGGAAAACAAAUAACUGAACUAUAGUUUGAAGCCAAGAGAGAAUAAGAGAUAGGAAAUACAAAAAAGAGUGUAAGAGUUAUAUGAAGAAUAAUGAUACAGUCUAACAUGCAUAUUGGAGUUUUGGAAAUAGAGAGGAAAUGAUAGUUUAGAAACAAUAUUUGAAGAAAUAUUAGCUAAAAAUGUUUCAAAGUUAACAAAAGACAUUAAACCGCAGAAUCUAGAUAUGCUAUGAGCCUCAUGUAGAAUAAAAGUAUAAAGAAAACCACACCUGGCUACAUCAGAGUUAAGCUGCUAAUAACAAAGACAAAUGGAAGCAUCUUAAAGUACUCAGAGGGGGAAACAAAAAACCCACACAUUACCUUCAAAGAAGCAACAAUAAAGCAUGUGCUUACUUUACAACAGAAAUGAUGGAAAUUAGAACAAAAUGGAAUGGCACGAAAAUGUAAAAGAGCAAAAAACCUUCCUACCUUCUCAUCUAGAAUUGUAUACAAAAUAAAAAUAUUACUCAAAAAAAGAAGGCAAAAAUUAAGAACUUUUCAGACAAAGAAAAGGUAAGUUUAUCACCAGUAGAUAUUUAUGUUAACAAAUACUAUAGAGUUAUUCAGGCUUAAGAGAAUAAUCUCAGGUUGGAACCAUCAGGAAUGAAGAGCACCAGAAAGGUAUGUGGGUAAUCUAAAUGAAUAGAGACUGGUUUAUAAUAUCUUGUGGGGAUUUGAAUAUGUAUAGAAGUAAAAUAUAUGACGACAGCACAAUAAAAGAGAGAGAUAAAUGGAGUUAAACUUUUGAUUAUAAUUUAAUAUAAAAUUCUACAUGGGGGGAAUUGGUAAAAGCACUAAUUAAAGGUAAACUGUAGUAAGUCUAAGAUGUAUGUUGUAUUCUAUUGUUACUUAACAAACCACUCCAAAAUUUACUGGUUCAGAGCAAUCAUAGCAUUUACUUUGCUUACAGAUCUGUAGUUUAGACAGGGUUCGGUGGGGACAUCUUGUCUCCACUCAGAAUCAGCUAGUAUGGCUCAAAUUCUGGACUGUGGAACCAUCUAAAGGCUCUCUAUCUUGCUUGGCUAGUUAGUUAAUACUAGCUAUUGGCUAGAAAUGCCGCGGGGUCAUGCCCAGAAUACCUAAUUGUGGUUGGUCCACAUGGCUGCUUGACAAAGCAUGGUGGCUGGGCUGGAUGCUUAGAGAGCCUGACAGAAGCUAUAUCAUUUUACUAAUCUAUCUUCAGAAGUCAUGUGUCAUUCCAUUAUAUUCUGUUGGUUGGAAGCAAGUCACUAGGGGCAACCCAUAUUCAAAGGAAGACUAAAAGUCUUCCUGUUGAUAGGAGGCAUAUCAAAGAACUUGUGGACAUUUUUUUUCAGCUAUACCAAAAGAAUCACUAUUUUCCUUGUUCCUUUUUUUUUUAAUUGAAAUAUCGUUGAUUAACAACUUUGUGUUAAUUUCUGAUGAAACUCUUAGAGGAAAACAUAGGCAGAACACUCAGUGACAUAAAUCAAAG
rnacentral:lncRNA from 1 species